AGAGUUUGAUCCUGGCUCAGAACGAACGCUGGCGGCAGGCCUAACACAUGCAAGUCGAGCGCGCCCUUCGGGGUGAGCGGCGGACGGGUUAGUAACGCGUGGGAAUAUACCCGACACUAAGGAAUAGCCUCUGGAAACGGAGAGUAAUACCUUAUACGCCCUUCGGGGGAAAGAUUUAUCGGUGACGGAUUAGCCCGCGUUAGAUUAGAUAGUUGGUGGGGUAAUGGCCUACCAAGUCUACGAUCUAUAGCUGGUUUUAGAGGAUGAUCAGCAACACUGGGACUGAGACACGGCCCAGACUCCUACGGGAGGCAGCAGUGGGGAAUCUUGGACAAUGGGCGCAAGCCUGAUCCAGCCAUGCCGCGUGAGUGAUGAAGGCCUUAGGGUCGUAAAGCUCUUUCGCCAGAGGUGAUAAUGACAGUAUCUGGUAAAGAAACCCCGGCUAACUCCGUGCCAGCAGCCGCGGUAAUACGGAGGGGGUUAGCGUUGUUCGGAAUUACUGGGCGUAAAGCGCGCGUAGGCGGAUUAGUCAGUUAGAGGUGAAAUCCCGGGGCUCAACCCCGGAACUGCCUUUAAUACUGCUAGUCUUGAGUUCGAGAGAGGUGAGUGGAAUUCCGAGUGUAGAGGUGAAAUUCGUAGAUAUUCGGAGGAACACCAGUGGCGAAGGCGGCUCACUGGCUCGAUACUGACGCUGAGGUGCGAAAGUGUGGGGAGCAAACAGGAUUAGAUACCCUGGUAGUCCACACCGUAAACGAUGAAUGCCAGUCGUCGGGUAGCAUGCUAUUCGGUGACACACCUAACGGAUUAAGCAUUCCGCCUGGGGAGUACGGUCGCAAGAUUAAAACUCAAAAGGAAUUGACGGGGGCCCGCACAAGCGGUGGAGCAUGUGGUUUAAUUCGAAGCAACGCGCAGAACCUUACCAACCCUUGACAUCCUCGGACCGCCAGAGAGAUCUGGCUUUCACUUCGGUGACCCAGUGACAGGUGCUGCAUGGCUGUCCUCAGCUCCUGUCCUGAGAUGUUCCGGUAAAUCCCGGGAACGAAGGCAACCCACAUUCCUUAUUUGCCACAAAUUUCGGCUGGGGCACUCUUAGGGAAACUGGCCCUUGAUAAACCGGGAGGAAGAGGU
rnacentral:rRNA from 1 species